UCUAUGUGCUCUCUUUGCAACAAUAUGUCUGAAACUACUCAUCAUCUUUUUUUGGAGUGCUCUUUUGCUCUUAAUUUAUGGAGUUGGUUUGCUGGGAUUUUGAACUGUAGUAUUAAUAUCCAGUCAAAGGAAGAUUUAUGGAACAUAUGCAACGGCUCCUGGAACCCCCAGUGCAAGACUGUCAUCAUAGCUUCUCUUAUCAACAUCAUCAAUAGUAUCUGGUAUGCAAGGAAUCAAAGGAGAUUUCAAAAUAUCAAAAUCCACUGGAGAUCCUCUAUUGCUUCUAUUAUUUCCAAUGCUUCUCUUACAGGUAACUUGUCUAGGAAGGUAG
rnacentral:lncRNA from 1 species